rnacentral:rRNA from 1 species
AUUGAACGCUGGCGGCAUGCCUUACACAUGCAAGUCGAACGGUAACAGGUUAAGCUGACGAGUGGCGAACGGGUGAGUAAUGUAUCGGAACGUGCCCAGUCGUGUGGGAUAACUGCUCGAAAGAGCAGCUAAUACCGCAUACGACCUGAGGGUGAAAGCGGGGGAUCGCAAGUCCUCGCGCGAUUGGAGCGGCCGAUAUCAGAUUAGGUAGUUGGUGAGGUAAAGGCUCACCAAGCCGACGAUCUGUAGCUGGUCUGAGAGGACGACCAGCCACACUGGGACUGAGACACGGCCCAGACUCCUACGGGAGGCAGCAGUGGGGAAUUUUGGACAAUGGGCGCAAGCCUGAUCCAGCCAUGCCGCGUGCGGGAAGAAGGCCUUCGGGUUGUAAACCGCUUUUGUCAGGGAAGAAAAGGUGCUGGCUAAUACCUGGGACUCAUGACGGUACCUGAAGAAUAAGCACCGGCUAACUACGUG